rnacentral:rRNA from 1 species
AGUGAACGCUGGCGGUAGGCCUAACACAUGCAAGUCGAACGGCAGCAUAGUAAGAGCUUGCUCUUACGGGUGGCGAGUGGCGGACGGGUGAGGAAUACACCGGAAUCUACUUUUUCGUGGGGGAUAACGUAGGGAAACUUACGCUAAUACCGCAUACGACCUACGGGUGAAAGCAGGGGAUCUUCGGACCUUGCGCGAUUGAAUGAGCCGAUGUCGGAUUAGCUAGUUGGCGGGGUAAAGGCCCACCAAGGCGACGAUCCGUAGCUGGUCUGAGAGGAUGAUCAGCCACACUGGAACUGAGACACGGUCCAGACUCCUACGGGAGGCAGCAGUGGGGAAUAUUGGACAAUGGGGGCGAGCCUGAUCCAGUCAUACCGCGUGAGUGAGGAAGGCCUUCGGGUUGUAAAGCCCUUUUGUUGGGAAAGAAAAGCAGCAGGUUAAUACCCCGCUGUUCUGACGGUACCCAAAGAAUAAGCACCGGCUAACUUCGUG